rnacentral:rRNA from 1 species
CCUACGGGAGGCAGCAGUGAGGAAUAUUGGUCAAUGGACGAGAGUCUGAACCAGCCAAGUAGCGUGAAGGAUGACUGCCCUAUGGGUUGUAAACUUCUUUUAUAUGGGAAUAAAACGUUCCACGUGUGGGAUUUUGUAUGUACCAUAUGAAUAAGGAUCGGCUAACUCCGUGCCAGCAGCCGCGGUAAUACGGAGGAUCCGAGCGUUAUCCGGAUUUAUUGGGUUUAAAGGGAGCGUAGGCGGAUUGUUAAGUCAGUUGUGAAAGUUUGCGGCUCAACCGUAAGAUUGCAGUUGAAACUGGCAGUCUUGAGUACAGUAGAGGUGGGCGGAAUUCGUGGUGUAGCGGUGAAAUGCUUAGAUAUCACGAAGAACGCCGAUUGCGAAGGCAGUUCACUGGACUGCAACUGACACUGAGGCUCGAAAGUGUGGGUAUCAAACAGGAUUAGAUACCCUUGUAGUC